rnacentral:rRNA from 1 species
CCUACGGGAGGCAGCAGUGAGGAAUAUUGGUCAAUGGGCGCGAGCCUGAACCAGCCAAGUAGCGUGAAGGAUGACUGCCCUACGGGUUGUAAACUUCUUUUAUAAAGGAAUAAAGUGAGGCACGUGUGCCUUUUUGUAUGUACUUUAUGAAUACGGAUCGGCUAACUCCGUGAUAGCAGCCGCGGUAAUACGGAGGAUCCGAGCGUUAUCCGGAAUUAUUGGGUUUAAAGGGAGCGUAGAUGGGUUGUUAAGUCAGUUGUGAAAGUUUGCGGCUCAACCGUAAAAUUGCAAUUGAUACUGGCAGCCUUGAGUACAGUAGAGGUAGGCGGAAUUCGUGGUGUAGCGGUGAAAUGCUUAGAUAUCACGAAGAACACCGAUUGCGAAGGCAGCCUACUAAGCUGCCACUGACAUUGAUGCUCGAAAGUGUGGGUAUCAAACAGGAUUAGAUACCCGAGUAGUC